ACGGAAGGCAGCAGUAGGGAAUAUUGCACAAUGGGGGAAACCCUGAUGCAGCAACGCCACGUGUGGGAAGACGCAUUUCGGUGUGUAAACCACUGUCGUGAGGGAAUAAGGCUGAGUUUCGGCUCAGUUGAAUGUACCUCGAAAGGAAGCACCGGCAAACUUCGUGCCAGCAGCCGCGGUAAUACGAGGGGUGCAAGCGUUGUUCGGAAUCACUGGGCGUAAAGGGAGCGCAGGCGGAAGUGCAAGCGGUCUGUACAAUCCCGGGGCCCAACCCCGGACCUGCAGCCCGGACUGCAUUUCUUGGAUAGUUCAGGGGCAAGCGGAAUUCCUGGUGUAGCGGUGGAAUGCGUAGAGAUCAGGAAGAACACCGAUGGCGAAGGCAGCUUGCUGGGGACUUAUCGACGCUCAUGCUCGAAAGUGCGGGUAGCAAACAGGAUUAGAUACCCUGGUA
rnacentral:rRNA from 1 species